AGUUUGAUCCUGGCUCAGGAUGAACGCUGGCGGCGUGCCUAAUACAUGCAAGUCGAGCGAACGGACGAGAAGCUUGCUUCUCUGAUGUUAGCGGCGGACGGGUGAGUAACACGUGGAUAACCUACCUAUAAGACUGGGAUAACUUCGGGAAACCGGAGCUAAUACCGGAUAAUAUUUUGAACCGCAUGGUUCAAAAGUGAAAGACGGUCUUGCUGUCACUUAUAGAUGGAUCCGCGCUGCAUUAGCUAGUUGGUAAGGUAACGGCUUACCAAGGCAACGAUGCAUAGCCGACCUGAGAGGGUGAUCGGCCACACUGGAACUGAGACACGGUCCAGACUCCUACGGGAGGCAGCAGUAGGGAAUCUUCCGCAAUGGGCGAAAGCCUGACGGAGCAACGCCGCGUGAGUGAUGAAGGUCUUCGGAUCGUAAAACUCUGUUAUUAGGGAAGAACAUAUGUGUAAGUAACUGUGCACAUCUUGACGGUACCUAAUCAGAAAGCCACGGCUAACUACGUGCCAGCAGCCGCGGUAAUACGUAGGUGGCAAGCGUUAUCCGGAAUUAUUGGGCGUAAAGCGCGCGUAGGCGGUUUUUUAAGUCUGAUGUGAAAGCCCACGGCUCAACCGUGGAGGGUCAUUGGAAACUGGAAAACUUGAGUGCAGAAGAGGAAAGUGGAAUUCCAUGUGUAGCGGUGAAAUGCGCAGAGAUAUGGAGGAACACCAGUGGCGAAGGCGACUUUCUGGUCUGUAACUGACGCUGAUGUGCGAAAGCGUGGGGAUCAAACAGGAUUAGAUACCCUGGUAGUCCACGCCGUAAACGAUGAGUGCUAAGUGUUAGGGGGUUUCCGCCCCUUAGUGCUGCAGCUAACGCAUUAAGCACUCCGCCUGGGGAGUACGACCGCAAGGUUGAAACUCAAAGGAAUUGACGGGGACCCGCACAAGCGGUGGAGCAUGUGGUUUAAUUCGAAGCAACGCGAAGAACCUUACCAAAUCUUGACAUCCUUUGACAACUCUAGAGA
rnacentral:rRNA from 1 species